UACGUAGGGGGCAAGCGUUAUCCGGAUUUACUGGGUGUAAAGGGAGCGUAAACGGCCAGACAAGUCUGAAGUGAAAAUCCAGCGCUUAACGCUGGAAGUGCUUUGGAAACUGCCGGGCUGGAGUGCAGGAGGGGCAGGCGGAAUUCCUAGUGUAGCGGUGAAAUGCGUAGAUAUUAGGAGGAACACCAGUGGCGAAGGCGGCCUGCUGGACUGCAACUGACGUUGAGGCUCGAAGGCGUGGGGAGCAAACAGG
rnacentral:rRNA from 1 species